UACAGAGGGGGCAAGCGUUGUUCGGAAUUACUGGGCGUAAAGGGCGCGUAGGCGGCCUGUUAAGUCGAACGUGAAAUCCCCGGGCUCAACCCGGGAACUGCGUCCGAUACUGGUUGGCUUGAGUUUGGGAGAGGGAUGCGGAAUUCCAGGUGUAGCGGUGAAAUGCGUAGAUAUCUGGAGGAACACCGGUGGCGAAGGCGGCAUCCUGGACCAAUACUGACGCUGAGGAGCGAAAGCCAGGGGAGCAAACGGGAUAGAA
rnacentral:rRNA from 1 species